AUGGCGGCGGCCAUGUUGGGUACCUGAGGGAGCGGGGCACGGCACCAGUAAUCCCAGUUAGGGCUGGGGUACGGCACCAGUAAUCCCAGUAAUCCCAGUUAAACGGGGCUAGUGGUCUGAUACAACACUAUAGAGGCUCUCCCCAGCCCUUUUCCAUCCACCUGACCCUGUGCUGAUGCUUAAUUAAUUUACACCGCAAUGACUUCAGUGUGAGUAGUGGUGAAGAGCUGCUAAGGUGCUUUAAGUGAAAUGUGAAAAGAACGGCUUAGAGAGUUUUAUUCUAUCCCACAAACAACUCUUGGUCAGAUGGAUUUUGUAUCUGUGCAGAGGUUUAACUUCAGGAGAAUGUAAACUGGCUGUGCCAACUUGCAACACAGAAGCUCUGGCUUAACUAAAAUCAACUACAAAUUGAGGCUAGAUGAACAUUUACCAGCAGUAGGAUUUCCCAGCAGAAAAUUGGCUUCCUGCUGACUCAGAUGUCGUCAGAGAUGACCGAUUUGGGAAUAAGGAGGCAUGUGGAAAACUCACGGUCUGACCAAAUGACAAAAACAGCAGUGGGUUUUCAGUGCAGCACUGCUGGAACACUGUUUUCCUGAACAAAGUGAUGGUAUGGAGACUGGAACACGCAGAAGAUACAGGAGGACAGAGGAACAGGUCAAAAUGUUUACUUCCUACAAAAACAGUCACUGGUGCUUAACUUCAGUGCAUCUUUGAAAAAUAAAACUGGCUCCUUUAUAGCAUAUCUUUGUGUCACCAGGCACAAUGCAUGUCCUAGAGAGUGCCAUUAAUAUACCAGCAGGUAAUGGCUUCACAGUGGGAUUUUAGUGAGACAGAAUAAAUCUUUAGCAUGGGAUGCAUAUACAAAUUUUAACUUAACUGAUUGUAUUUCCUGCUUUAGUGGAAAACAAUCCAUAGCAAAAUUGUACAUCUUUGGGAAAAUAUGCUCUCUGAAUGAAUUUUCUAAUGAGUUUUCUGAUUUUAAUUGAAACUAAAGUUUUGAAUCCUUACAUUUUAAGAGUUGUUCCUGUGCAUAUCAGUAGGAUGUUGUUUCAUUGCCUCAGAUCUUUUAAUCUUCCCCCUUGACGUUUGCAUUCCUUGAUUAAAUAAACAUGCAGUGGGGGUAUUUAGUGUCUGGCCAAGCCCACCUGCAAAACAAAUGUCAAGCUGAUACCCUUUAUUCUUAAUAUACAACAGAAUUUGUAAAACCAUUGAUAUUCUGGGCUCUAUCCAACACCUAUGGAUGAAUAAUUAAGGUAAAACCCACAAAGUUCUCACAUUCCUUUUUCAUGAGCUCACUUGAUGUAGCUUUCAAUACAGAGAAUACCAGAGCUGGACAAAGCCCCGUCAGCAAUACUUUCCCACAAAAAAAUGCAGUUUCAUAAUCAUGAAUUAUGUGCUAUUGAUUCUGCUGAACUGUUUCAGCUGCAAGAUAGAAAUUCAAAUCCAGUGCC